rnacentral:rRNA from 1 species
GACGAACGCUGGCGGCGUGCUUAACACAUGCAAGUCGAACGGAAAGGCCCUGCUUUUGUGGGGUGCUCGAGUGGCGAACGGGUGAGUAACACGUGAGUAACCUGCCCUUGACUUUGGGAUAACUUCAGGAAACUGGGGCUAAUACCGGAUAGGAGCUCCUGUUGCAUGGUGGGGGUUGGAAAGUUUCGGCGGUUGGGGAUGGACUCGCGGCUUAUCAGCUUGUUGGUGGGGUAGUGGCUUACCAAGGCUUUGACGGGUAGCCGGCCUGAGAGGGUGACCGGCCACAUUGGGACUGAGAUACGGCCCAGACUCCUACGGGAGGCAGCAGUGGGGAAUAUUGCACAAUGGGCGGAGGCCUGAUGCAGCAACGCCGCGUGCGGGAUGACGGCCUUCGGGUUGUAAACCGCUUUCGCCUGUGACGAAGCGUGAGUGACGGUAAUGGGUAAAGAAGCACCGGCUAACUACGUG